GUUGAGAAGCGAGAGUGCCUGCUGCUCAGAGGACCCCGGCCCCUUCCACGCCGUGAGGCAGGGGCGGGAGACCGCGAGUCCGGCCGGAUGCCACACCCCGCCUUCCACGGCGGACAGGACGAAGAGCGGCCCUGUUGGCCAUGAACGUCCGUUCCUCGUCCGGCCUGGGAGAGCGGGACAUCACCACAUGGAUCGAUGGACAGAGCGGACAAUUUCCCUCGGCCCUUGGGCAGCAUUUCCGAGAGGCAGAACAGCUCAUCUUAAAGAAGUCUUAUCGUAGACUUUGCCUUGAUACGAGGACAAGGAUCCCAUUUGAUCCAACCUGAAUUCAACCUUCUCUUUUAACUUCCAUUCAAAGCAUCGGAAAACUUCCAGCUCUGAGUGGGUCGCUGUU